rnacentral:lncRNA from 1 species
GGCACUGGGCUGGUGGGUCACAGACUUAAGUCCCCGAACCACUUUAUCAGAGGAUGGAUGUUUGACUUGAAAAGAUUAGAUAUUCUGAAAUAAGAUGGAAAAGCUCCAAUUCUUAUUUGAUUUAUUUAUUCCUUUAUGCCUCAUUCAUUCGUUUAUUCAUUCAUUUAUUUUAUAAAUAUUUAUUGGUACUUAUAAAUAAGUACCAGACAGUGUGUUAGGCCAAAGAAUAAAGCAAAAAACAAAACAAGCCUGAACCUGGAUGAAUCCAUGAAAUAAAAUCCAUAUGGCUUGGGAAGUAAAAGUCAUAGAACUUAGUGAUUGUUCAGAUUUUAGAACUUAGGGCAGAGAGAAUCCUAGAAUGUUACACAGGUAUCUCACUUAGGCACAUGAGCCAAUGGCCAUGUUCCUGUUGAGACAGAAGAACACAGAAAAGCAAGAAUUAAGAGUAAAAUAAGGAGUUAUAGUUUGGAUCCUGAAAGUUAUCGCCUCCAGCACUAAAGGUCAGAGAGGUGAAGAAAAAGGGAGGCAGAAAAGAUCAUACUGAAUCCAAAAGGAAACAGGAACAGAGCUCCCAGAGCUGAUUCUACCCCCAAAGGUAAUGGAGACAUUCAGCCCACAGUAACCCCACACUGGUACUUCCUACUUUAUAGCUAAGCCAGGCAGAGGUAUGUGGCUGUAAAGGGCAACAUCAAAGGUGGGUCACCCAUUCCAUUUCUAGAUAACCAGGAUUAACUGCUCCACUGACAUUAUCCUGAUAUUAUAGAGUUCCAGAAAGGAGAAAAUAAGGAAUGCACUUAUGCAUUAGUAAAAAAAAAUACUUGCACAACCAUAUUUAAAACAAUGGAAA